UGCAGUGCCUGUAUGAGUUUUUGUACAACGAAACUGCGAAUGGGUCGGUAAAACAGCAAUAAUUUAAUCGGGGAUAUACUACCGGAUAACCGUAGUAAAGCUAGAGCUAAUACGUUGAUAGUACAAAGACGCAACUGCUUGCAGUUGUGGUGCUAAGUAUUAGGUACAACCCAAUUUUUAUAAUUGGUGAUUCAUACUUAUCGUCUGAUCACAUUUCUUUAUGUGUGUGACGCCCCGAUUAAAUUUCUGACCUAUCAACUAUGAUGGUAAGGUAGGGUCUUACCAUGGUUGUGACGGGUAACGGACCGUGGGUGCGGGAUUCCGGAGAGGGAGCCUGAGAAACGGCUACCACAUCCAAGGAAGGCAGCAGGCGCGCAACUUACCCAAUCCGAAUUUCGGGAGGUAGUGACAAUAAAUAUCAAUAGGGGGACCAAUGGUCUUCCUAAUUGGAAUGAAAGCAAUGUAAACACCUCAUUGAGGAACCAGCAGAGGGCAAGUCUGGUGCCAGCAGCCGCGGUAAUUCCAGCUCUGUAAGCGUAUACCAAAGUUGUUGCAGUUAAAACGCUCGUAGUCGAAUUUUGACGUUUAUGCUUCUUUAGACCCCUGAUGGGUGUUUGAAUGAAUGCUGCGUCUUUGUGGAUUUUGAGAUGCUUGGUGAUGCUUAAUUGUAUUGCUGCAUUUUUGCCACUGUUUACUGUGAAAAAAUUAGAGUGCUUAAAGCGAGCGAUUUGCCAUGAAUAGAUUAGCAUGGAAUAAUAGAAUAGGACCUGGUUCUGUUUCUAUUGGUUUGUCAGUUUCAGGUAAUGAUUAAGAGGGACGGUCGGGGGCAUUUGUAUUCCAGGGUUAGAGGUGAAAUUCUUANAUCCUUGGAAGACACACAGCUGCGAAAGCGUCUGCCAAGGACGUUUUCAUUGAUCAAGAACGAAAGUAGGGGGAUCGAAGACGAUCAGAUACCGUCGUAGUCUCUACUAUAAACUAUGAGGACUAGAAAUUGGACGUGGCCUAUUUUUGGUACGUUCAGCGCCUUGAGGGAAACCAAAGUGUUUGCUUUCUGGGGGGAGUAUGGUCGCAAGUCUGAAACUUAAAGGAAUUGACGGAAGGGCAUCACCGGGUGUGGAGCCUGCGGCUUAAUUUGACUCAACACGGGAAAACUUACCAGGUCCAGACAUAGUGAGGAUUGACAGAUUGAGAGCUCUUUCUUGAUUCUAUGGUUGGUGGUGCAUGGCCGUUCUUAGUUGGUGGAGUGAUCUGUCUGGUUAAUUCCGUUAACGAGCGAGACCUGGGCGUGCUAAAUAGAGUUUGUUAUUCUUUGUAAUAGCAGUUUUUUUAAGCUCUUCUUAGACGGACUGUAGGCUUUUAGUCUAUGGAAGCUCCAGGCAAUAACAGGUCUGAGAUGCCCUUAGAUGUUCUGGGCCGCACGCGUGCUACACUGAACGGUUCAAUGGGUAAGGAAGUGCGAAAGCAUUACCUAAUCUCGAAAUCCGUUCGUGCUGGGGAUAGAAGCUUGCAAUUAUCCUUCUUGAACGAGGAAUACCUUGUAGGCGCGAGUCAUCAUCUCGCGCCGAAUACGUCCCUGCCCUUUGUACACACCGCCCGUCGCUCCUACCGAUUGAGUGGUCCGGUGAGGCUUUGGGAGGGCUGGAUGGAUUGUGCUUCACAAACUGUUCGGUCUAAACUUAGUCAAACCUUACUACUUAGAGGAAGGAGAAGUCGUAACAAGGUUUCCGUAGGUGAACCUG
rnacentral:rRNA from 1 species